CCUACGGGAGGCUGCAGUGGGGAAUAUUGGACAAUGGGCGAAAGCCUGAUCCAGCCAUGCCGCGUGUGUGAAGAAGGCCUUCGGGUUGUAAAGCACUUUCAGUGGGGAAGAAAGCCUUGGGGCUAAUACCCUCGAGGAAGGACAUCACCCACAGAAGAAGCACCGGCUAACUCCGUGCCAGCAGCCGCGGUAAUACGGAGGGUGCGAGCGUUAAUCGGAAUUACUGGGCGUAAGGCGCGCGUAGGCGGUCUGAUAAGCCGGUUGUGAAAGCCCCGGGCUCAACCUGGGAACGGCAUCCGGAACUGUCAGGCUAGAGUGCAGGAGAGGAAGGUAGAAUUCCCGGUGUAGCGGUGAAAUGCGUAGAGAUCGGGAGGAAUACCAGUGGCGAAGGCGGCCUUCUGGACUGACACUGACGCUGAGGUGCGAAAGCGUGGGUAGCAAACAGGAUUAGAUACCCUAGUAGUC
rnacentral:rRNA from 1 species